GGCAAGCGCGCCAAACAUGGCAGUUCGAAGCGGCAGCGGGAGGGAAGUUUGCUUCUCUGCCGGCGAGCGGCGGAGGGUGAGUAAUGUCUGGGGAUCUGCGCCGAAGGAGGGGGAUAACCACUGGAAACGGUGGCUAAUACCGCAAAAUCUCUAAGGAAGCAAAGUGGGGGACCUUUCAGCGCCUCACCACUUCAGAUAAACCCCAAAUGGAAAUUUUUUUUUAGGAGGGGUAACCCCCUCCCAAGCCAACAAUCUCCACCGUGUCUCAGAAAGAAUGAUCACCCCACUGUGAGGAGUGACACACGCCCCAAACCUUCCUACGGGAGCGCACCUCCGGUGGGAAAUUUUGCACCCAAGGGGGGAAAACCCGUGAUCUCCGCCCCCGUCCCGCGUGUUAUAAAAAAGGCCUUUCGGGGUUUGUAACGAAUAUUUUCAGUCGUGAGGAAAGGUGUUAAACGUUAAACACCUCUAGCAUAUUGGACCUUUCCCCACAAAAAGAAGCACCGGGCAAUCUCCGUGCCCGGCAGCCGCGGUAAUACGGGAGGGUGCGAGCGUUAAUUCGGAUUUAGGGGGCGUAAAGGGGCACCCAGGCGGUUUUUUAACUUGGAUGUGAAAUCCCCGGGCUUAACCUGGGAAUGGCAUUCAAGACUGGCUAAUCUAGAGUCUUGUAGAGGGGGGUAGAAUUCCAGGUGUAGCGGUGAAAUGCGUAGAGAUGUGGAGGAAUACCGGUGGCGAAGGCGAGCCCCCUGGACAAAGACUGACGCUCAUGUACGAAAGCGUGGGGAGCAAACAGGAUUAGAUACCCUGGUAGUCCACGCCGUAAACGAUGUCGAUUUGGAGGUUGUGGUCAUGAACUGUGGCCUCCGGAGCUAACGCGUUAAAUCGACCGCCUGGGGAGUACGGCCGCAGAGUGUUAAAUCUAUAAUGAAUUGACGGGGGCCCGCACAGAGCGGUGGAGCAUGUGGUUUAAUUCGAUGCAACGCGAAGAACCUUACCUACUCUUGACAUCCAGAGAAUCCGGCAGAGAUGCAGGAGUGCCUUCGGGAACUCUGAGACAGGUGCUGCAUGGCUGUCGUCAGCUCGUGUUGUGAAAUGUUGGGUUAAGUCCCGCAACGAGCGCAACCCUUAUCCUUUUUUGCCAGCGAUUCGGUCGGGAACUCAAAGGAGACUGCCGGUGAUAAACCGGAGGAAGGUGGGGAUGACGUCAAGUCAUCAUGGCCCUUACGAGUAGGGCUACACACGUGCUACAAUGGCGUAUACAGAGAGAGGCGAGCUAGCGAUGGGAAGCGGAACCCAGAAAGUACGUCGAAGUCCGGAUUGGAGUCUGCAACUCGACUCCAUGAAGUCGGAAUCGCUAGUAAUCGCGGAUCAGCAUGCUGCGGUGAAUACGUUCCCGGGCCUUGUACACACCGCCCGUCACACCAUGGAAGUGGGUUGCAAAAAGAAGUAGGUAGCUUAAACCUUCGGGAAUGGCGCUCAACCAACUUGUGUUCAGGGUGA
rnacentral:rRNA from 1 species